GACGAACGCUGGCGGCGUGCCUAAUACAUGCAGGUAGAACGCUGAAGGAGGAGCUUGCUCUUCUGGAUGAGUUGCGAACGGGUGAGUAACGCGUAGGUAACCUGCCUGGUAGCGGGGGAUAACUAUUGGAAACGAUAGCUAAUACCGCAUAACAGUAGAUGUUGCAUGACAUUUACUUAAAAGGUGCAAUUGCAUCACUACCAGAUGGACCUGCGUUGUAUUAGCUAGUUGGUGGGGUAACGGCUCACCAAGGCGACGAUACAUAGCCGACCUGAGAAGGUGAUCGGCCACACUGGGACUGAGACACGGCCCAGACUCCUACGGGAGGCAGCAGUAGGGAAUCUUCGGCAAUGGACGGAAGUCUGACCGAGCAACGCCGCGUGAGUGAAGAAGGUUUUCGGAUCGUAAAGCUCUGUUGUAAGAGAAGAACGAGUGUGAGAGUGGAAAGUUCACACUGUGACGGUAUCUUACCAGAAAGGGACGGCUAACUACGUG
rnacentral:rRNA from 1 species